rnacentral:rRNA from 1 species
GAUACAGAAGAGCAAGAAUAGGGGGUAAUAAGUGGGGUGGAUGAGUGGAUCGGAACAAAUGGUCGCAAAGCGUGCACAGGCGGAGUGGUAAGACAGGCGUGAAGGCCCCGGGCUAGACGCGGAAACUUCGAUGGUGAAGGCCUCACGAGAGUACGGCGGAGGGGGGUGGAAUUCCAGGGGUAGCAGUGAAAUGCGUAGAGAUGUGGAGGAACACCGAUGGCGAAGGCAGACACCUGGGCCGAUACUGACGGUCAUGCACGAAAGCGUGGGUAGCAAACAGGAUUAGAUACCCGUGUAGUC